rnacentral:rRNA from 1 species
UAAGGAAUAUUGGUCAAUGGGCGAGAGCCUGAACCAGCCAUGCCGCGUGCAGGAAGACGGCCUUAUGGGUUGUAAACUGCUUUUGUCGGGGAAUAAAUCUUUCUACGAGUAGAGAGUUGAAGGUACCCGAAGAAUAAGCAUCGGCUAACUCCGUGCCAGCAGCCGCGGUAAUACGGAGGAUGCAAGCGUUAUCCGGAUUCAUUGGGUUUAAAGGGUGCGCAGGCGGAUUAUUAAGUCAGUGGUGAAAUGUAACGGCUCAACUGUUAAGCUGCCAUUGAUACUGAUAGUCUAGAGUAUAGUUGAAGUGGGCGGAAUGUGUCAUGUAGCGGUGAAAUGCUUAGAUAUGACACAGAACACCGAUCGCGAAGGCAGCUCACUAAACUAAAACUGACGCUCAUGCACGAAAGCGUGGGGAUCAAACAGG